CCUAACUGCUCAGACACACGACAGUGUUCAUUUCUCCGUUGUCAUUUCGAACCUUAUGCGUUCUAUCUAACAUGGAAGGUCGAAUUAGGAAUACUCAGUGGAGGACAAUCGAAACAGAGGGCCUACUACACGGAGAUGAGAACAACAACUGCGCCAGAAACGCGUGUCAAUUCAGGUGAAGAUGCUAAGGUUUCGCGGAACAUCUUUCCGCACGGGAUCACGUAUGCUAAAAACCACAUCUGUGACAGAAUAAGACUGGUAUCAGCAGAGUAUCUAUCUUGUAUUAUAAUACCUGUGCACCAACUUAACAUCUGAUAAUGUAAUAAUAUAUUGCACCAGAAGUAAAUAAAAUCAUAUCAGCAUAA